rnacentral:rRNA from 1 species
AAUAUUGCACAAUGGAGGGAACUCUGAUGCAGCAACGCCGCGUGAGUGAAGAAGGUCUUCGGAUCGUAAAACUCUGUCAUUGGGGAAGAAGAAAUGACGGUACCCAAUGAGGAAGCACCGGCUUACUACGACCCACCAGCCGCGGUAAUACGUAGGGGGCGAGCGUUGUCCGGAAUUACUGGGCGUAAAGGGUACGUAGGCGGCUAUAUAAGUCAGGUGUGAAAUACCAGUGCUUAACCCUGGAAUUGCAUUUGAAACUGUGUAGCUUGAGUGCAGGAGAGGAGAGUGGAAUUCCUGGUGUAGCGGUGAAAUGCGUAGAUAUUAGGAGGAACACCAGUGGCGAAGGCGACUUUCUGGACUGUAACUGACGCUGAGGUACGAAAGCGUGGGUAGCGAACA